rnacentral:rRNA from 1 species
AGCUGAACCCAGCUUGCUGGGUGGAUGAGUGGCGAACGGGUGAGUAACACGUGAGUAACCUGCCCCCUUCUUUGGGAUACGCCCGGAAACGGGUGCUAAUACUGGAUAUUCACUGGCCUUCGCAUGGGGGUUGGUGGAAAGGUUUUUUCUGGUGGGGGAUGGGCUCGCGGCCUAUCAGCUUGUUGGUGGGGUGAUGGCCUACCAAGGCUUUGACGGGUAGCCGGCCUGAGAGGGUGACCGGUCACAUUGGGACUGAGAUACGGCCCAGACUCCUACGGGAGGCAGCAGUGGGGAAUAUUGCACAAUGGGCGAAAGCCUGAUGCAGCGACGCCGCGUGAGGGAUGACGGCCUUCGGGUUGUAAACCUCUUUCGCUCAUGGUCAAGCCGCGACAUUGGUUGUGGUGAGGGUAGUGGGUAAAGAAGCGCCGGCUAACUACGUGCCAGCAGCCGCGGUAAUACGUAGGGCGCGAGCGUUGUCCGGAAUUAUUGGGCGUAAAGGGCUUGUAGGCGGUUGGUCGCGUCUGCCGUGAAAUCCUCUGGCUUAACUGGGGGCGUGCGGUGGGUACGGGCUGACUUGAGUGCGGUAGGGGAGACUGGAACUCCUGGUGUAGCGGUGGAAUGCGCAGAU